CCCCUGGUGGUCUAGUGGUUAGGAUGCAGUACUCCCACCACUGCGGCCCGGGUUCGAUUCCCAGUCAGGGAA